rnacentral:rRNA from 1 species
GUGGGGAAUUUUGCGCAAUGGGGGAAACCCUGACGCAGCAACGCCGCGUGAGUGAUGAAGGCCUUCGGGUUGUAAAGCUCUUUUAGUGGGAAAGAAAUGCAUCGGUGCCAAUACCACCGGUGCUUGACGGUACCCACAGAAAAAGUUCCGGCUAACUCCGUGCCAGCAGCCGCGGUAAUACGGAGGGAGCAAGCGUUGUUCGGAAUCAUUGGGCGUAAAGCGCGCGCAGGCGGUUGGGUAAGUCAGACGUGAAAGCCCAUGGCUCAACCAUGGAACUGCGUUUGAAACUGCUCGGCUAGAGUUCAGGAGAGGUGGGCGGAAUUCCCAGUGUAGAGGUGAAAUUCGUAGAUACUGGGAGGAACAUCUGUGGCGAAGGCGGCUCACUGGACUGAUACUGACGCUGAGGCGCGAAAGCGUGGGGAGCAAACGGGAUUAGAAACCCUUGUAGUCC